ACUUUAAAUGCAUUUUUCUUCAAAUAUAUUUUUUGAAUAUAUAAGAACAUAAUUGUAAGUGAUAUAGAAUGAAUGAGACUGUGCAUGAUCGUAGGAACAUAUGAUGAGUGAGAUAUAGAUAGAGAAGUGGACGAGUGUCAUGGAGGAUGAUCGAGAAGUGCGAGGUUAGAGAAAUAAUAUAUUAUUUGUAGGAUUCAAUAUUAUAAUAUUAAAGUAAAAAGUUAAUAAAAUUUAAGUGCAAUAAAUAAAUAUAAAUUAAGACAAAUAUACAAUUUAUUUAAUAUAUAUUCCUACAAUAAUAAAUCUAUCAAUUUGAUUCGAUUCGAUUAAUUCGCGAUUAUUUGAAGUUUCGAUUAUUCAUUCGAUUAUCCAGUGUCUUCCGUUUAGUGGUAUCAAGUUCGUGUUCUCUUUUGUUUCUGUGAUUAUUUUUCCUUCUUUUCUCGUUAUUAAGAAUUAUGUGCAUCUUUUGUUUAAUAUAAACACAAGCAUCAAGUUUUUCUAUUCUAUAAUUAAUCGCAUUUCUAUUUCUACAACUCUUUUCAUUAGAAUUUUCUCCAUUCGUUAUUCACCAAUUUUUGAGUUGUUUCUUCUUGAAUUUUGAUUAUUUUGGUGGACUUCGUUUUAUUUGAGCUGUUUGUUCUUCGUUUAAACCAGUUAAUCAAGAUGCUACAUAAAUUGACAAUUAUCUUCGAGAAUCGGCAGUUUGCGAGGAUGUCCCUGCACGAGGCGCGUUUACAAGCCUUCUUCUCUUAACAUCUCCAUCCUGUGCCCGUGCCAUCGACGAGGAUACCAUCCUGCGAGGUGUUAGCUCGAGGCAGGGAUCGGCUCACGGGGUGGAGGCGCUAUAAAAAUAAAGGAAA